rnacentral:miRNA from 1 species
CAUGCUCUGCCUGUGUCCCAAA